rnacentral:rRNA from 1 species
GCAUAUCAAUAAGCGGAGGAAAAGAAACUAACUAGGAUUCCCUUAGUAACGGCGAGUGAACCGGGAUGAGCUCAAAUUUGAAAUCUGGCGUCUUUCAGGCGUCCGAGUUGUAAUCUAUAGAGGCGUUUUCCGCGCCGGACCGCGUCCAAGUCUCUUGGAAUAGAGUAUCAAAGAGGGUGACAAUCCCGUACUUGACGCGACAACCGGUGCUCUGUGAUACGUUCUCAAUGAGUCGAGUUGUUUGGGAAUGCAGCUCUAAAUGGGUGGUAAAUUCCAUCUAAGGCUAAAUAUUGGCGAGAGACCGAUAGCGAACAAGUACCGUGAGGGAAAGAUGAAAAGCACUUUGGAAAGAGAGUUAAACAGCACGUGAAAUUGUUAAAAGGGAAACGAUUGAAGUCAGUCGUGUGGGAAGUAUUCAGCCGUCUUUGGCGGUGUAUUUGCUUCUCACGGGUCAACAUCAGUUUGAUCCGGUAGAAAAAGGCGGGAAGAAGGUGGCACCCUCGGGUGUGUUAUAGCUUCCUGUCAUAUGUGCCGGACCAGACUGAGGAACGCAGCUUGCAGCAAUGCCGGGGUUCGCCCACGUACAAGCUUAGGAUGUUGACA